ACUUACCAACGGGGACCAACACGCAGCAGCCGCUGCCGCCGCCGCGGGAGCCGCUGCCCGAACUCCCGGCCCGAACUCCAGACCUGAGCAUGCAGAAUUCCGAGGGUGGAGCGGAUUCGCCAGCGUCCGUGGCUCUGCGUCCCUCGGCGGCAGCCCCGCCUGUGCCAGCCUCCCCGCAGAGGGUGUUGGUCCAGGCAGCCAGCUCCGCUCCCAAAGGGGCCCAGAUGCAGCCAAUCUCCCUCCCCAGAGUUCAGCAGGUACCCCAGCAGACGAACAGCCUACACCUACAACCCCGAGCCUCAGAUGUACGCCCCCAGCAGCGCGGCUUCUUACUUCGAGGCCCCAGGCGGCGCCCAGGUGACCGUGGCAGCCUCGUCCCCGCCAGCAGUCCCCUCCCACAGCAUGGUGGGCAUCACCAUGGAUGUCGGGGGGAGCCCCAUCGUCUCCAGCACGGGAGCCUAUCUCAUCCACGGGGGGAUGGACAGCACCAGGCACUCCCUGGCCCACACCUCCCGGUCGUCACCAGCCACGCUUGAAAUGGCGAUUGAAAACCUCCAAAAAAGCGAAGGAAUC
rnacentral:sRNA from 1 species